rnacentral:rRNA from 1 species
CCUACGGGCGGCAGCAGUGGGGAAUAUUGCACAAUGGGGGAAACCCUGAUGCAGCGACGCCGCGUGAGUGAAGAAGUAAUUCGUUAUGUAAAGCUCUAUCAGCAGGGAAGAAAAUGACGGUACCUGAGUAAGAAGCCCCGGCUAACUACGUGCCAGCAGCCGCGGUAAUACGUAGGGGGCAAGCGUUAUCCGGAUUUACUGGGUGGAAAGGGAGCGUAGACGGCAGUGAAAGUAUGGAGUGAAAGGCGGGGGCUCAACCCCCGGACUGCUCUGGAAACUGUACGGCGGGAGUGCAGGAGAGGUAAGUGGAAGUCCGAGUGUAGCGGUGAAAUGCGUAGAUAUUAGGAGGAACACCAGUGGCGAAGGCGGCUUACUGGACUGUAACUGACGUUGAGGCUCGAAAGCGUGGGGAGCAAACAGGAUUAGAUACCCUUGUAGUC